GACGAACGCUGGCGGCGUGCUUAACACAUGCAAGUCGAACGGAAAGGCCCUGCUUGCAGGGUACUCGAGUGGCGAACGGGUGAGUAACACGUGGGUGAUCUGCCCUGCACUUCGGGAUAAGCCUGGGAAACUGGGUCUAAUACCGGAUAGGAGCCAUUUUUAGUGUGAUGGUUGGAAAGUUUUGUCGGUGUAGGAUGAGCUCGCGGCCUAUCAGCUUGUUGGUGGGGUAAUGGCCUACCAAGGCGGCGAAGGGUAGCCGGCCUGAGAGGGUGGACGGCCACAGUGGGACUUAGAGACGGCCCAGGCUCCUACGGGAGGCAGCUGUGGGGAAGAUUGCACAAUGGGCGCAAGCCUGAUGCAGCGACGCCGCGUGGGGGAUGACGGUCUUCGUGUUGUAAACUCCUUUCGCUAGGGACGAAGCUUUUUGUGACGGUACCUAGAUAAGAAGCACCGGCUAACUACGUG
rnacentral:rRNA from 1 species